AGGAGCAACAGCCCUAGUGGCGGGGCUAGCUCUGGAGCCCUGGAGUCAGCCCCCGCAGUAACUCCAGAGCUCUCCGUCUGCAGGGCCUGGAGGCUCCGGGGCGGG
rnacentral:pre_miRNA from 1 species